rnacentral:hammerhead_ribozyme from 1 species
GCCUUGUUGAGGAGCCCCAUAAUAGGACGAAACGGCCGUCCAGUGC